UUCAUCCGCCGCUUCACAAUUCUUUCACUCUCUAAACCCUAGAUCCUCCACCGCAUAACUGAAGCACCUCCACCGCACCUCCACCGCACCUCCACCGCUCAUCCAUGGAACCUGUCUUUGCCAUCACCGUCUUCUCCCCUUUCAUCCAUGGAACAGGUCAUGUUUUUAACCCUAUUUUGUACGUUUUUUUUUAAUCUUUGUCAGAUCUGUGAUAAUACUUUUAGAUCUGUUUUAAUACUUUUAGAUCUGUGAUAAUACUUUUAGAUCGGUGAAUCUGUGAUAAUACUUUUAGAUCUGUGUUGGUUUUGUGAUUAUUUUAAUGUUCUGUGAAUGGCUCAACAUUAGGGCUUUUUGUUUGAUAAUUAGGGCUUUGUCUGAUCUGUGAAUGGACCAAUUUUAAUUUCUUGCAUUAGGGCUUUGUCAGAUCUGUGAUAAUACUUUUAGAUCUGUUUUAAUACUUUUAGAUCUGUGAUAAUACUUUUAGAUCUGUGAAUCUGUGAUAAUUCUUUUAGAUCUGUGAUAAUACUUUUAGAUCUGUGUUGGUUUUGUGAUUAUUUUAAUGUUCUGUGAGAUUUAUAGAGAAAACGUAAUUUCUGUUUCAUAAUUAGGGCUUUUUGUUUGAUCUAAUCGGUUACUGAAUUAUGGUUUUGUUUGUAAGGAGAAUCCGAUUGCAAGCUCACCGGCGAAGGAAGCAUACAGGAAUCGGCUGGCGGACAGCCUCAACAUGGACAGAACUAACAUUCUAGCUUUCAGGAAUAAGCCUCCGACACCAACAGAUGCGGUUCCAAACGAGUGGUUUUGCUUCACUACAAAGCAACAAUUUUCAAAUUCAAAAUUUGUGUGGCCACGUGACCUUUGUUAUGUGCGGUAUUGGCGCCGAAAUGAUGAUGGGAGUUAUGGAUUGGUUUGAUCCAAUUGCUGAUUCGACUACUAGCCAUCUCGAUCUGAUUCCCCACAUGGUUUAGGGGAGAAGUUUAAAACAACAGGACUAUGGAAGGAUAUACGGUGCUACAUUGACAGUCAACUCUACGGUUUGUAGGUUGAAGUUUGCUUAACACGCUUCAACCGUCGAACUUGGUGCGGCUCAAUUGAAUAAGGAAAGCAGGGAGGUCAUGGACCUUAAAGACUUGUGCAGACUAAAACUGUGAUUGAGAUAUCUGCAGCAGUAGCUAGCAGCAGCUGAAGGGAAUGUUGAUCGAAAGAUGUGAACAGAGGCAAGGUGGCAAGGUUUUAGUAAUAGUUGUUAUAUGGUACAUUUACAUAACAUGAACUUUUACUUCCAGUUGAUUUCGACAUAACUAUAGUCUGUACAGUGUACAUAUUUCAGUAUUAAAAUCACAAGUUUACACAUUCUUAGAGUGGUUUAAUCCAUGUCUUUGACCGGUAUUAUUAUCGUUUGAAGCAAAGUUGGGUAAUCGGAGAUGAUACCAUAAAUGAAACUGCAUCUCCAUAAGCUAAUGAGGUGAUGUUAUUGGAUCUUGGUUCAUUGGCCGCCUUGGUUUUAAAAUGCGCGCAUAAUGCGUGAUGCGUCCGAUGCGCUGAUGAGAGCGCAUCGCUACAACUGAUGCGUUGUGUUUACGUGAUGCGAGUAUAUUGCGCGCAUUUCGCAUGAUGCGCUCAUCGCAUAAUGCGCUCUGAUGCACGCAACAUUGUUUCUUAUGUUUUUGGCCCACAAGCACUGAUUUGAUGAAGGUUGUUAAUCAAGUGAGCAGCAACGCACGACAGAUGGGGAUUUUGGCGAGGAGACUAGGGUUCCGGUGAAACCUUUUCACUACAUGUUGUCAUCUCUGUCGACAAUGAACAAAUUGAAGACGUGCAGUGGUGAAAGUUCUUAGACCGGAAGGUUUGUAUAUGAUUUACAGAUCUAUGUGGAAUGCAGAAAAUGGGAGUUGUCACCAGGAGAGGAUAAAAAAGUUCUAUGGCUGAUGCAUUUGUGAGUUUUAAGGUCCAAUUUAAACACAAAAAAAUGAACCAUUGUGGAUUCCAUUAGAAGAACACCUUUUGCAUCAUCCUGUGAAGAGAUGAGGAGCUCUGCUUCAGUGAAGGAAAGGGCAAUCUACUUGUGAAGGUACCUGUGAAGGAAAGGGCAAUGUAUGCCUUCCAAACCAAGAUGCAGGCUUGAUGGGGAUGAAUUUCAUGAUUGGAAGAAAAUAAACCUUUCCUAUUUAAUACCUUGGUCUCACAAGUUCUAAAUAAAUCAUAAUUUUUUUGGUAUUCUCGUACGUGUGAUGCCUUUUUGCUAAAUGAAGACAGCUAGAGCAUGGCGUGGAAGCUUAAAAGAGAUAUAAUGAUGUCUGGUGUUCGACAACGACGAAAUUUUAAAGGGCCAAACUGGGUUAUUAUAUUAGUGUGCUUAGUCAGCAUAUUUUUAGUUGGAUUAUAUAUCUACCAGCCCAGGAAUACUGCUGCCUGCUAUAUCUUUCUGUCCCGUGGCUGUUCCGAUCUUGAAAACACUCCAGCAGUUCCUUCCAGAGAAUUAACAGAUGAAGAAAACACAGCUCGGGUGGUCAUCACGGAAAUUUUGAAAUCAUCUCCUGCUGCUCCAAAGAACGCGAAAGUCGCUUUCAUGUUUUUGACUCCUGGCCCAUUACCGUUUAAAAUUCUAUGGGACAAGUUCUUUCAAGUAAAAGAACCUGUUUUGAUCCAAACAGACCUAACCCGUCAUAAGACCCACACGUAUUUCAUUUUUCACACAAAGGUAUUUCGGGUGCUUUUAUUCGCCUGAGUAAACUGGUGACAAUGAACGGGCGUCAGGUGCUUCUAUUCGCCUCAUAACUGAUUAACUGACCAUGUGAGAUAAAAGAAGACGCCUUUGUUUGGAUUAAGUAUAGAUCGAGUAAAGCUUCCCUUGAGUGGGAUAGCUGGGUUUCGUUUAAUGUUGGGGCUCUGUUGUAAUUUGCUUUUCCUCCUUGUAUUCCAGCCAGUGGCUGGUUGCUUUAUAUUUAUAUAUAAAGUUGUUGCAGUUCAAAAAAAUAUAUAUAUAACAUUCUUCUGUUGUUUUGAGACCGAAACACAAUUAAUAAGAUUUUUUUUAAAUGACAGAUGCAGACAUGGGAUACUAUUGCUGGAGGCGAUUCAGAGAACCAGGUAACAAAAUUUCUGCAUAAGCGAGCACAACCCCAGCGAGCCCAACGCAACGGCGCAGUGAGCGCAGCCGCAUCGACGUCUAAUAUCAAUUUCUAUUGGUUCAAUUUAGUAUCUCAAUGAGUAUAUAUCAAUUUCUAUGUCGUCUAAUAUCAGAUGCUUUCAAUUAUUGUAUAUGAGAUAAGUUUGUUUUUGGUCUAUCACAGGACUACCAGAAUGCCCAGGUCAAUGAAAGAUCUUUUAAUGCCAUCAAGUGAUAUAAGAGAGUUUUGUAUAUGUAAUGCCCAAACGAGUUGAAUUGGUCAUUGUUGCGAGAGAAGCUACCUUGGGCUUGUUCAAAGAUUGUAAAGGAAUAACGGAACAGGGUUCUGCUGAGCGUGACAAGCAUCAAAUGAUGCAGCUGGGCUUCAAUCAGCUACAGCAUGGGCUCAAAUGUUGUCUCAAUAGGCGAUUUUCAGCUUCAACAUCAACUAUAGCUUAUGCAACCUACAAAUCCCAGUUUGACAAUUUAGCAUAAUCUCCAAGAUUGCAGUCUACAUGGGCCGGUAGCAUAUCACAAACAUCAGGCCCUUUGGUGAUCUAACUGCAAAACAAUGGAUUCGCUUCCUAUUGCUUCGGUUGCUCGAGUCAUGCUCCCAAGUGGAGGUCCUGUGAAAUGUAAUUGGACAGGGCACAUAUGCAUAUGAUACUGAACUAAUGUUAUUUCUCCCUUUCUUUUAUUGUGGUAAAGUUUAUGACAUUUUAUUUUCUAUAUGUACAUACUAUGCAACGGUUUUUGGGACUUGUAUU